AGUGAACGCUGGCGGCGUGCCUAAUACAUGCAAGUCGAACGGAGUGGCGCACGGGUGAGUAAUGUAUAGCUAAUCUGCCCUACACUAGAGGACAACAGUUGGAAACGGCUGCUAAUACUCUCUAGAGUAGGGUGAGGCUAUAUUGUAUCAGCUAGUUGGUGAGGUAAUGGCUCACCAAGGCUAUGACGCAUAACUGGUCUGAGAGGAUGAGCAGUCACUCUUGAACGGAGACACGGUACAGACUCCUACGGGAUGCAGCAGUAGGGAAUAGUGCUACAUGGGGGAAGCCCUGAAGCAGCAACGCCGGGUGGAGGAUGACACUUUUCGGAGCGUAAACUCCUUUUGUUAGGGAAGCGGUACCUAACGAAUAAGCAACGGCUAACUCCGUGCCAGCAGCCGCGGUAAUAC
rnacentral:rRNA from 1 species